rnacentral:rRNA from 1 species
UACAGAGGAGCCAAGCGUUGUCCGGAUUGACUGGGCGUAAAGCGCACGCAGGCGGAUGCGCGCGUGGGGUGUGAAAUCUGGCCGCUUAACGGCCAGGCGCCAUCCCAUACGGCGCGUCUGGAGUGGUGCAGAGGUCGAUGGAAUUGCCGGUGUAGUGGUGAAAUGCGUAGAGAUCGGCAGGAACACCCAGGGGGAAACCAGUCGACUGGGCAUCUACUGACGCUGAGGUGCGAGAGCGUGGGGAGCGAACCGG